AUGUUUUAUUGAGAAUUUCUCGAAUUGGAAUGAUCUAAGGGUUUAUAAAUUUUACUGUUGAAUAAUUAUUUAUAAUUAAUUUUUUGGGGUGAUAUGUAAUUCGUCUUUCAAGAUAUCUAGUUUUUUAAGAAAUUAAUUUAAUUAAGCUCUACACUUGUGAAUUUUUUGUUUAAGUUUAGUGUGGGUGUAAUAUCUGAGGGGAUAAGCUUUUGGGUAAAUUAAUAUAAUUUUAUUAAGAUUUAUCAUAAAUAGGAUUAGAAGUUUUCAUUUUUGGGAUUGUGUUAUAACAGUUUAUAAGUUUUGUUAAUAUUUUUAUAUGUUUAUUUUUUUUAUUGAAAUAACAAUUUUAAUUAUGAAUUUUGUGAAAUAAUGAUUAAAUUAGUAUAUUGUGUUGUUGAAUAAGUAGAGUUUAAAAAUUUGAGUAAAGGAAUUCGGCAAAAAUAACUUCUUGCCUGUUUACUAAAAACAUGGCUUUUUGGGAAUGAUUUAAAGUCUGGCCUGCCCAAUGAUUAAUUUUGAAUGGCCGCGGUAUUAUGACCGUGCAAAGGUAGCAUAAUCAUUAGUUUUUUAAUUGAAAGCUGGAAUGAACGGUCGGACAAGGGAGUUUCUGUCUCUAUUUAAUUUUUAGAAUUUAAUUUUUUAGUAAGAAAGCUUAAAUGUUUUUGAGGGACGAGAAGACCCUAUAGAAUUUUAUAUAAGUAUACAAAGCUGGUUUUUGGGGGAUUUUGUUUGUUUUGUAUGUUUGUAUUUUGUUGGGGUGAUAGAAAAAUUUAAUAAACUUUUUUUUAGUUUAUUCAUUAAUUUAUGUUUUUUUGAUCCAUUUUUAUUUGAUUAUAAGAUUAAAUUACCUUAGGGAUAACAGCGUAAUUAAUUUGGAGAGUUCUUAUCGAUAAAUUAGUUUGCGACCUCGAUGUUGGAUUAAAAUUAACUUGAGGUGUAGGGGCUUUGAUGUUAAGUCUGUUCGAC
rnacentral:rRNA from 1 species